GUGUCUCUCUCUCUUGCCAGUUUCCGGCUUGCUGUUUGCAGCUGCCAUGAAUUGCAGCCCCACCAUGCCACCCUUCCUUGGAGCCAACUAAGUAUGGACUGAAACCUCUAAGAACUGAGAAGCUGCUCCCAUGUCCAGUGUCACCCCAACCCACAAGAAACUAUAAGUACUGUGACCGUCAACUCCGAAUUAGCCACCAGCGAAGAAGAAUGAAUGGCUACUUCGAAAUAGAACAGUGAUAAAUCGAACCUUCCAGAACCACAAGGGCGGUGGCAGGACACUCAGCAUAUCACCCUGACACCCACUUACUUGAAGCCUG